rnacentral:rRNA from 1 species
UCGAGAAUCUUCGGCAAUGGGCGCAAGCCUGACCGAGCGACGCCGCGUGCGAGAUGAAGGCCUUCGGGUUGUAAAUCGCUGUCAGAGGGGAGGAAAUGCCGGUGGGUUCUCCCACCGGUUUGACCCAUCCUCAGAGGAAGGACGGGCUAAGUUCGUGCCAGCAGCCGCGGUAAGACGAACCGUCCAAACGUUAUUCGGAAUCACUGGGCUUAAAGGGUGCGUAGGCGGUCCGGGAAGUUGGGUGUGAAAGCCCUCGGCUCAACCGAGGAAUUGCGCCCAAAACUGCCGGGCUUGAGGGAGACGUAGGUGAGCGGAACUUAGGGUGGAGCGGUGAAAUGCGUUGAGAUCCUAAGGAACACCAGUAGCGAAGCGGCUCACUGGGUCUCUUCUGACGCUGAAGCACGAAAGCUAGGGGAGCGAAGAG